rnacentral:rRNA from 1 species
UACGGGGGGGGGCAAGCGUUGUUCGGACUUACUGGGCGUAACGGGCUCGUAGGUGGCCAACUCAGUCGGAUGUGAAAUCCCCAGGCUCAACUUGGGAACUGCAUCCGAUACUGGAUGGCUUGAAUCCGGGAGAGGGAUGCAGAAUUCCAGGUGUAGCGGUGAAAUGCGUAGAUAUCUGGAGGAACACCGGUGGCGAAGGCGGCAUCCUGGACCGAGAUUGACGCUGAGGCGCGAAAGCCAGGGGAGCAAACGGG